rfam:Ricinus communis cultivar Hale ctg_1100012360664, whole genome shotgun sequence.
AGGAGCAGUGAUGAGUCUACAGACCUGUAAUGAUUUGCGGUCAUGAUCGCAACUCUUUUUGAACAUCUAAGGGACUGAGUUCUU